CUGGCGGCGUGCUUAACACAUGCAAGUCGAACGAGAAUCUACUGAAGGAGGAUUCGUCCAACGGAAGUAGAGGAAAGUGGCGGACGGGUGAGUAACGCGUGAGGAACCUGCCUUGAAGAGGGGGACAACAGUUGGAAACGACUGCUAAUACCGCAUGAAGCAUAGGGGUCGCAUGAUCUUUAUGCCAAAGAUUUAUCGCUUCAAGAUGGCCUCGCGUCUGAUUAGCUGGUUGGUGAGGUAACGGCUCACCAAGUCGACGAUCGGUAGCCGGACUGAGAGGUUGAACGGCCACAUUGGGACUGAGACACGGCCCAGACUCCUACGGGAGGCAGCAGUGGGGAAUAUUGCACAAUGGGCGAAAGCCUGAUGCAGCAACGCCGCGUGAGGGAAGACGGUUUUCGGAUUGUAAACCUCUGUUUUCGGUGACGAACAAAUGACGGUAACCGAGUAGGAAGCCACGGCUAACUACGUG
rnacentral:rRNA from 1 species